GGGCCUGUAGCUCAAUUGGGAGAGCAUUUGGUUUGCAAUCAAAAGGCAGUCAGUUCGAAUCUGGCCAGGUCCA